rnacentral:rRNA from 1 species
GACGAACGCUGGCGGCGUGCUUAACACAUGCAAGUCGAACGGGUCUGCCCUGUUUUUUGCGGGGUGGGUCAGUGGCGAACGGGUGAGUAACACGUGAGUAACCUGCCCCUCACUUCUGGAUAACCGCUUGAAAGGGUGGCUAAUACGGGGUGUUCUGGCUGUGCCGCAUGGUGUGGCUGGGAAAGAUUCACUUUUGUGGUGUUUUGGUGGGGGAUGGGCUCGCGGCCUAUCAGCUUGUUGGUGGGGUGAUGGCCUGCCAAGGCUUUGACGGGUAGCCGGCCUGAGAGGGGGGGCGGUCACACUGGGACUGAGAUACGGCCCAGACUCCUGCGGGAGGCAGCAGUGGGGGGUAUUGCGCAAUGGGCGGAAGCCUGAUGCAGCGACGUCGCGCGAGGGAUGGAGGCCUUCGGGUUGUGAACCUCUUUCGCCGGUGAAGAAGGUCCUGCUCUUUGUGGUGGGGUUGACGGUAGCCGGGUUAUGAAGCGCCGGCUAACUACGU